CAGCAGUUGUCGGAGGAACGAGCACAAUCUCUCACAAGGUAAACAGAAAAGAGACAAAAAUAAACCAUGCAAAAAUAUGUUGUUGUUUUGCUUCUCCUCUCCGUUUUACUGAUGACAGUGGAUAUCUCGGAGGGUUUUUUGUGGAGUCGAUGUAAACGCUGUAUCUUUCGUUGUCAGAAGAAUUAUAUUUUUUGUAAGGCCAAAAUUCUUGAUGACUAUUGUGGAAUCAAUAGGGAAGCGUGUUGGAAAAGAUGUGGUAAAUGCUGAAAACAAGGCUAUUGUGUUCCUCAACAGACAAUCAUGGGACUUGUUGUUAUCAUUUUGGCUGUUUAUCUAACUAGUCCAGAUCUGUUGAGAUUGAAUAAAAAUAUAAAAGCAUAAA